CCAAAAGGAGGAAUGCUUCCUUGGGAGACACAAUGAUUCCAUCAAACUGGAAGUUAUGACUCCCACCAGGCCACAUUGAGUCCUUAGACUUCUGGAUCAACAGGCAAAGAGGCCAGCACUGUGGCUCACACCUGUAAUCCCAGAACUUUGGGAGGCCGAGGCAGGUGGAUCACUUGAGGUCAGGAGCUUGAGACCAGCCUGACCAACAUGGAGAAACCCCAUCUCUACUAAAAAUACAAAAUUAGCCGGGCAUGGUGGUGCAUGCCUGUAAUCCCAGCUACUCAGGAGGCAAGUCAGGAGAAUUGCUUGAACACAAGAGGCGGAGGUUGUGGUGAGCUGAGAUCGUGCCAUUGCACUCCAGCCUAGGGAACAAAAGCGAAACUCCGUCUCAAAAAAAAAAAAAGAAAAGAAAAGAAAAGAAAAGAAACAACAACAACAACAACAAAACAGGCAAAGAAAGGAGUCACUAUUCUGGCUAGGGUGAUUGUGGCUACUUCUUGGUAAUCACAAUCUCUGCAAUCAAGGUAAGGAGGAGGAUGUCUGGAAUACAAGAGAUCCCUUAGGGUGUCUCUUAUUACUACCAUGUCCUGUGAUUGAAGCCAAUGGAAAACUUUAACAACCCAACUGGGACAGGAAUGCAUGGCCCAGACCCUUCCAGAAUGAAGGUUUAGGUCACCCCACCAAGUAAAGAACCACCAUUGGCUGAGGUGUUUACUGAAAGCAAAUGGAAUAAUAGGUCAUAAAAGAAGAAAGUUAUAAAUAGCAGCUAUGACCAUGUGACCAGUUACAGAGUUUAGGUCUGUGACUAAUGGAGAACAAAACAAAACAAAACAAAACUGGUCAUUCCCCACAGGGAGUUUGGGAAACCGGAUGUCAGAUUCCAGCCACUGGGGAGUUGGAUUUCACCCUCUGUAGUCACUUUCAAGUCUAAAAUCCCACGAAGAACUGAAGUUGGGCAGGGAAAUUGAAAGUAAAAGUGAGGAAUGGAGAAGUUUCUGUGCCACAUUUGACGUGAAACUGAAAGUGAUCAUGUAUGUGUCCCUCCUGCUCCCAUAUGAUCUGGCACAGCGCCAUUCAGUUUUACAGAAGCUGAAGCUCAGUGCAGUAGCCUGGCUUGCCAGAAUGCACUCUUUCUUAACGGCUCACAUUUCCAUCCACAGCCCAGGUCUCUGCCCUCCCAGUUCAAUCCCUCACCCCAGUCCGUUAUUUUUAAGGCAUAUAAAGGAAACCAGAGACAGAAUCAAGUCAAAGCUGUUUUAUUAUCAUUCACAUUAUUUCAUAGAAAAAGGAAUAUAGCAAACGGUCACGGUCAGGGUUGUACAUAAAAAAUCCAGGUUUGUGG
rnacentral:lncRNA from 1 species